rnacentral:rRNA from 1 species
GUUUGGUUAAGUUAGAAAGGGCGCACGGUGGAUGCCUUGACACUAGGAGUCGAUGAAGGACGGGACUAACGCCGAUAUGCUUCGGGGAGCUGUAAGUAAGCUUUGAUCCGAAGAUUUCCGAAUGGGGAAACCCACCAUACGUAAUGGUAUGGUAUCCUUAUCUGAAUACAUAGGGUAAGGAAGACAGACCCAGGGAACUGAAACAUCUAAGUACCUGGAGGAAGAGAAAGCAAAUGCGAUUUCCUGAGUAGCGGCGAGCGAAACGGAACAUAGCCCAAACCAAGAGGCUUGCCUUGAGUACGGCGGAACACGUGAAAUUCCGUCGGAAUCUGGGAGGACCAUCUCCCAAGGCUAAAUACUCCCUAGUGAUCGAUAGUGAACCAGUACCGUGAGGGAAAGGUGAAAAGCACCCCGGAAGGGGAGUGAAAGAGAUCCUGAAACCGUGUGCCUACAAAUAGUCAGAGCCCGUUAACGGGUGAUGGCGUGCCUUUUGUAGAAUGAACCGGCGAGUUACGAUCCCGUGCGAGGUUAAGCUGAAGAGGCGGAGCCGCAGCGAAAGCGAGUCUGAAUAGGGCGUUUAGUACGUGGUCGUAGACCCGAAACCAGGUGAUCUACCCAUGUCCAGGGUGAAGUUCAGGUAACACUGAAUGGAGGCCCGAACCCACGCACGUUGAAAAGUGCGGGGAUGAGGUGUGGGUAGCGGAGAAAUUCCAAUCGAACCUGGAGAUAGCUGGUUCUCCCCGAAAUAGCUUUAGGGCUAGCCUUAAGUGUAAGAGUCUUGGAGGUAGAGCACUGAUUGGACUAGGGGUCCUCAUCGGAUUACCGAAUUCAGUCAAACUCCGAAUGCCAAUGACUUAUCCUUAGGAGUCAGACUGCGAGUGAUAAGAUCCGUAGUCAAAAGGGAAACAGCCCAGACCGCCAGCUAAGGUCCCAAAGUGUGUAUUAAGUGGAAAAGGAUGUGGAGUUGCUUAGACAACUAGGAUGUUGGCUUAGAAGCAGCCACCAUUUAAAGAGUGCGUAAUAGCUCACUAGUCGAGUGACUCUGCGCCGAAAAUGUACCGGGGCUAAAUACACCACCGAAGCUGCGGAUUGAUACC